UUGGAAGGGCGGAGGAUCGCUCGCGACGCAAGUCACGGGAGGAAAGUCCGAACACCAAAGGGCGCGAUGCCGCGUAACUUGUAGGCGCCGACGUAAGAAGGCGGACUGCGAGAUACACGCGGGAGGAAAGUUGAAAGACUUUCCGACGGACAGUGCCACAGAGAACAUACCGCCACGUUUCGCAAGAAGCGGGGUAAGGGUGAAAAGGUGGUGUAAGAGACCACCGCUCGAAGCGUAAGCGACGAGGCACGGAAAACCCCAUCGGGUGCAAGGCCAAAUAGGAAACCGAGGAACGGCUCGUUCCGCGUCCGCGAAAGUGGACAGGUUUCGGGUAUCGGCUGCUGAGACAAAUGAUUCUCUCCCCGGAGCAAUUCGGGCAGACAAAAAUCGGCUUACAGCCCUUCCAAAACC
rnacentral:RNase_P_RNA from 1 species